rnacentral:lncRNA from 10 species
GUAAAAAAACUAUUGUAUCAGAAAUUGCUUAGUCAAUUUUCUAGUAACUUGUAAAUGGUACUCUCCAUGUAUCAUCUAGUUUUUUUAAAUCUUUCUUCUCUAGGUCUCUUACUAAAGCUUCCUGUUCAAAGUCUGGCUGAGAAUUUUUGCUGCUUCUUUCCCUACCUCCUCGUUUCCGAAGAUGCUGUUUCAAAAUUGAUUAGUUCUCUGACUCGCCCACUGAAAUCAUCCAACCUAUUGAAAAAGCAGAAUGGGAUGUGGAUUAUAGGGUUUCAGAUAACACCAAGUCCCUAGUGAAAGGUAUGUUAUUUCAUUGCUUUGUUCUGCUUUUGGAAACGUGUAGCUGUGUUUUCUUUUCACCAACUGUAUAGGUCACAGCAAUUUUUUUUUCCACUGGGAGUUACAAGCUAUACGGAAGAUUUCCAGAGUAGAGUCACAGUCUCACAUAAAUGCUAAAUACAACUAAUCAGGGUCGGAAGGUACAUGGAGGGUAAUUAGUAGGUUACAUUUGGGUCAGUUUUAAGGUCAUUUAUGGAUACUACAAGAAAAACAGACCUUUUGACUUUCUGUGGUGAAAAACGGAAAUAUAUUUAUCUUGUGUAUUAUAAUACAUGCACUGAAAUGGAUUAAAAGCAUUUUUGAUAAUUUCAUGUCUGUGUAUAUAAGAUUGCUUAAAGAGCAAAACAAUACAUUGUACUGUAUUCAUAAUAAGAGUAUCAGCCUCAGUAACCAGAUAUUGCAUAAAUUUGUCCAAUACGCCAUAACUAGUGUCAGAGUUGACAAAAGGGGAUUCUGACUCUUAGCUUACUAGGCUUGCUUUAUACUUCUAAGGAGAUAGUCAUUUGGUAAUCUUAAGCCUUCACGGUACAACUAUUAACAAAUAAAUUCAUUAUAAUAGGACAUGUUUAUCAUGGAUCUUACUUCCCAUGGCUUGUGUGGGUUUUUGGAGGCUCCCUUGACCAAUAGGAGCACCAAAUGAAAGGAAAUAAUAUCGACUCCAAGUGUGAAAGUGGAGUAGAUAUUUAGGAAUCAUUGAAUAUAGAGAAGGUGAACGAAGUGAUGAAUUACAGGAAUGGAUUAAAAACAAAGGCUGUAAAAUCCCUUUCUUCACAAAUUCCUACAGGCUGAUCUCACCUACAUCCCCAUUGUUUCAACCACCAUUCUGGUGGGAACAGAUUUCUCCACACUUUCUCCAGCUAAAACCUUCUCUUUUGAACUCUAGAGCCACAAAUCCAAUUGCCUGUAUCUACAUCUAAAUCAAUUUCUGUCUAAAUCUAUAAUUCAUCAAUAUCUUUAUCAAAAUCUCAAUGUGUUCAAAGUUAAGCUCAUUAUUUUCUCCCUAAAACUUCUUCUUGUUCCUGCUCAGAUUUCUGAUAAACCAAAUAUGUCCCAGGUAUCCUCCUCCUUUUCUCUCUCUCCUUCAUUCCUGAGAGCUAAACAAUCACUUCUUAGAAUGAUUUUGGCUUAGAAAUACCUGUGGAUUCCCUCUUAUUCCCUUCCACUGUCACUGUCUUAAUUCAGGCCUUCAUGAUUUUUUUUUCACC